UACGGAGGGGGCUAGCGUUGUUCGGAAUUACUGGGCGUAAAGCGCACGUAGGCGGACUGGAAAGUCAGAGGUGAAAUCCCAGGGCUCAACCUUGGAACUGCCUUUGAAACUCCCAGUCUUGAGGUCGAGAGAGGUGAGUGGAAUUCCGAGUGUAGAGGUGAAAUUCGUAGAUAUUGGGAAGAACACCAGUGGCGAAGGCGGCCUCCUGGCUCGAUACUGACGCUGAGGUGCGAAAGCGUGGGGAGCAAACAGG
rnacentral:rRNA from 1 species